UACGUAGGUGGCAAGCGUUGUCCGGAAUUAUUGGGCGUAAAGCGCGCGCAGGCGGUCCUUUAAGUCUGAUGUGAAAGCCCACGGCUCAACCGUGGAGGGUCAUUGGAAACUGGGGGACUUGAGUGCAGAAGAGGAAAGCGGAAUUCCACGUGUAGCGGUGAAAUGCGUAGAGAUGUGGAGGAACACCAGUGGCGAAGGCGGCUUCUGGUCUGUAACUGACGCUGAGG
rnacentral:rRNA from 1 species